rnacentral:rRNA from 1 species
GACGUAGGGCGCGAGCGUUGUCCGGAUUUAUUGGGCGUAAAGAGCUCGUAGGCGGCUUGUCGCGUCGGGAGUGAAAUCCACUGGCUUAACUGGUGGCUUGCUUUCGAUACGGGCAGACUGGAGGUAUGCAGGGGAGAACGGAAUUCCUGGUGUAGCGGUGAAAUGCGCAGAUAUCAGGAAGAACACCCGUGGCGAAGGCGGCUCUCUGGGACGGUACUGACGCUGAGACGCGAAAGCGUGGGGAGCGAACAGG